GACCUCUAAUCGGAAAAGACUACCCGCCGAGUUUAAAA
rnacentral:rRNA from 1 species